rnacentral:tRNA from 1 species
CGAGAUGUAGUUCAGUAGAUAGAACGCUUGGUUUGGGACCAAGAAGUCGCACGUUUGAGCUGUGUCAUCUCGA